GCAAGGAAUAUUGCGCAAUGGGCGAAAGCCUGACGCAGCGACACCGCGUGGGGGAUGAAGGACUUCGGUUUGUAAACCCCUUUUCUCAGGGAAGAAUAAUGACGGUACCUGAGGAAUAAGUCACUGCCAACUACGUGCCAGCAGCAGCGGUAAUACGUAGGUGACGAGCGUUAUCCGGAUUUAUUGGGCGUACAGCGCGUGUAGGCGGCCUUUCAAGUCGGAUGUGAAAUCUCCCGGCUUAACUGGGAGGAGUCAUUCGAUACUGUUUGGCUAGAGGGCAGCAGAGGGAGGUGGAAUUCCCGGUGUAGUGGUGAAAUGCGUAGAUAUCGGGAGGAACACCAGUGGCGAAAGCGACCUUCUAGGCUGUUCCUGACGCUGAGGCGCGAAAGCGUGGGGAGCGAACACGAUUAGAUACCCCAGUAGUCC
rnacentral:rRNA from 1 species